AGGCCAGGCCCGGGAGGUGCGCCACGACCUGACCGACGCCGCCGCACCAGGCGCUCGAUUCCCAGCCGCCCCCAAAAACCCGGCGCAGAUCCUAGCGGUGCGGCGGCCGGAGCUGGUGCUCCAGCGCCCUUCGCGGCUGCCCAGGGGUGGGGCGAGGCUGACGCGCAGCGGGCGGGCGAGCGAUUGCGAUGGCGUCGCUAGGGCGGCUCAAAUCCGCCAUCUUCGAUAGGGAGGAGAGGAAGAUGUAAGCCUUUCGUGUAUCUUUUGGUGCGUUUGUUUCUUAGGUAGAUUCCUGCGGCUCAAUCUGGAUAGAGAAACCCUAGCCUCUAUCACGGCUGUUGAAGAGCUAUAUUUUAUAUGGUUCCAGCACUCUUUGGGCCUCAACCGUUGAAAAAUGUAAAACUAUUACUGGGUCCACGAACCCCAAUAGUUUACUUAUCUGUCUGCAAUUGCUUUGCAGUAGUUACUAGUUAGUGUAGGCUAGUGCAGUAAUUGAAGGCGGGAAUCACGGGCUCUUACUUC
rnacentral:lncRNA from 7 species